CGAGGGUGGAGCAUGAUGUUGCUACUCGUUACGGGUCGUUAGCAGACAAAAAAUUGCAGUAAUGAUCGAGACAUGCAUGACGGCCAGAAUAUUGUGUUUUUCCGAUGAUGAGUGAGAAGAAAAUGAACAGACGAAUAAAGGAUAUGGAGACCUUACAGUUGAUGAUUUUAAUUCACCCAGAAAAUCCUUAAAAACUUAAUAAUGCCUAAUUCACAUACACUUAUUUCAUUCAGUGGAUUAUACUUAUAUUUUCAAAACUGAAAUAUACGAUGUACCACUUACAAGCAACUAGGAAGUCGAUCAAAUAUCCUGACAAUUUUUCAGACGUUGACUUUCAUGAAGAUAAUUCUACC